rnacentral:rRNA from 1 species
UACGAAGGGGGCUAGCGUUGCUCGGAAUCACUGGGCGUAAAGGGUGCGUAGGCGGGUCUUUAAGUCAGGGGUGAAAUCCUGGAGCUCAACUCCAGAACUGCCUUUGAUACUGAGGAUCUUGAGUUCGGGAGAGGUGAGUGGAACUGCGAGUGUAGAGGUGAAAUUCGUAGAUAUUCGCAAGAACACCAGUGGCGAAGGCGGCUCACUGGCCCGGUACUGACGCUGAGGAGCGAAAGCGUGGGGAGCAAACAGGG